CCUACGGGAGGCAGCAGUAGGGAAUAUUGGGCAAUGGAGGCAACUCUGACCCAGCCAUGCCGCGUGCAGGAUGAAGGCGUUAUGCGUUGUAAACUGCUUUUAUAUAGGAAGAAAGAGUUCUUGCGAGGACAGUUGACGGUACUAUAUGAAUAAGCACCGGCUAACUCCGUGCCAGCAGCCGCGGUAAUACGGAGGGUGCAAGCGUUGUCCGGAUUUAUUGGGUUUAAAGGGUGCGUAGGCGGUUUAUUAAGUCAGUGGUGAAAGACGGUCGCUCAACGAUUGCAGUGCCAUUGAUACUGGUAGACUUGAGUGAGAUUGAGGUAGCUGGAAUGGAUAGUGUAGCGGUGAAAUGCGUAGAUAUUAUCCAGAACACCAAUUGCGUAGGCAAGUUACUAAGUCUCAACUGACGCUGAGGCACGAAAGUGUGGGUAUCAAACAGGAUUAGAUACCCUGGUAGUCCACACUGUAAACGAUGAUAACUAACUGUUGGCUUUCGGGUCAGUGGUACAGAGAAAUCGUUAAGUUAUCCGCCUGGGGAGUACGCCGGNAACGGUGAAACUCAAAUGAAUUGACGG
rnacentral:rRNA from 1 species